rnacentral:lncRNA from 10 species
UCUUCUGGCCUUCAUCUUUCUCCCUUUCAUCUUUGAGGGCUGAAUGCGUCCAGCCCUCAAACAUCAGACUCCAAGUUCUUCAGCUUUGGACACUUGGACAUACACCAGUGGUUUGUCAGGGGCUCUUGGGCCUUCAGCCACAGGCUGAAGGCUGCUCUGUAGCCUUCACUAAUUUUGAGGUUUUGGGACUUGGACUGAGCCACUUCCUUGCUCUUCGACUUACAGAGGGCCUAUCAUGGGACUUCACCUUGUGAUUGGGCUGUAAUCAAGCCUUGCCCGAGACCUCUUUCACUGUUGAGAACACCUGGAUGUCCACACACUGCCAGAGUGGAAAGGAUGGCCUGGCCCAUGGGCGGAACCUGGGGAGGGGGCAGCUGACCUCAGCGCUAUGCCACUGUGGGCAACAUGGGCAGAAAAGAAUGAGGGAAGGCCUGAACACCUGCCCACACAUGCUGCCCCAGCCCAGAGCACUGACUUGGCCCUACCUCCACAAUGAUCGAGUGUCUCCCAAAAUCAGAGUGUCCGCACCAUCUUGGUGUCCCAAACAUCAUCUGUUUUCCAGGAUCGUCCAUAUGGAGCCUGAAUACUCCAGGCCAGGUGCCACCCCAUGGCUGCCCGUCCCCUGAUCUCCUGAGCAUCUGGAUGUCCCAGAGAGCACAGGGAAAGAUUGGGUAUGGGGAGUUGGAGAGAGCUCCCAAGGGGAGAGACAAAGAGUGGGACAUGCAACCCCUUAGGUGCUCAGGGCACCCUGCCUAGGCUGCAAUGGGGAUGGCUGGUCCCAGACACUCAAGAAGGGCUUGAAAAAUUUCCUAUACUCCUCUCCAAAACCAGGGGGUCCUCGCCUGGGUCUAAAGAUUCUACUUCAGGAGAAAACCGUUUCUGUUUAAUCACCUGACAAAAAUUAGGGCAUUUAAAGGUAAAAAUCCUCAUUUAAGAUAUCUUCAAAUAUGGUAAAUAGAAAUCUCUAAAAUAUAGAUUGAAAUUUUAUAAAUGGAAAAAAAUUGAUGGUUAAUAAAUUUGGAUCCUAUUGUUUUUGCCUAAAAUGAUAAGAAUUGUUAGUUUUAAAUAAUGAGAUGCUCAUUUUAUUGUUUAACCUGAAAACUGACUCUAAGGCCAAAUCUAUAAAGGAGAUGCGAAAUUAUUUUGAGGAGUGGAAGUAUCAUCAGAAUAAGUGUUUUGCCUGAUGUAACUACUUCAAAAAAUCCUGUUUUUCUGGUUAUGUCUGUGCUAUUAUGAUUAUUUAAAAGUUGAGUCUUAUUACUGAUCAAACAAAGCAAAAUAAAGAACUCUCCAGUGAUAUUAGGCCAGCCAUGUGCCUCAUCGAUAUGGGGGGCAGGCAAACACUAAUGCAGGCUAAAUUCACUGGUUAAUUUUCCAGUUUUAAAUGGGAAAAAAUAAAUGAAGGGAGGAGUAAAGCAAGCAAUAAAAAUAAUUGAAAGACUAGGAGAUACAAAUAGGAUGUGAUUUAGUUGACUGGAAAAAUGCCUAAGGGGUAAAAGGAAUGUAUCUAUUACUCUUCUCAAAUAAAUGAGAGGAAAUGCUCAUUACAG